UGGAGGGCAAGUCUGGUGCCAGCAGCCGCGGUAAUUCCAGCUCCAAUAGCGUAUAUUAAAGUUGUUGCAGUUAAAAAGCUCGUAGUUGAAUUUCGGGGUUCUACCGUUGGUCGGGCUAUUGUCUGUACUGGCGUGUAGAAUUUCUACCUUCUGGGGAACUAUCAUGUUAUUAAUUUAGCGUGGUAGGAAACCAGGACCUUUACCUUGAAAAAAUUAGAGUGUUCAAAGCAGGCUUAUGUCUGAAUACAUUAGCAUGGAAUAAUAAAAUAGGACGGUGGUCCUGUUUUGUUGGUUUCUGAAUCACCGUAAUGAUUAAUGGGGAUAGUUGGGGGCAUUAGUAUUCAAUUGUCAGAGGUGAAAUUCUUGGAUUUAUUGAAGACUAACUACUGCGGAAGCAUUUGCCAAGGAUGUUUUCAUUAAUCAAGAACGAAAGUUAGGGGAUCGAAGACGAUCAGAUACCGUCGUAGUCUUAACCAUAAACUAUGCCGACUAGGGAUCGGAUGAUGUUAAUUUUUUAAUGACUCAUUCGGCGCCUUACGGGAAACCAAAGUGUUUGGGUUC
rnacentral:rRNA from 1 species